UACGUAGGGCGCAAGCGUUGUCCGGAAUUAUUGGGCGUAAAGAGCUCGUAGGUGGCGUGUCGCGUCUGCCGUGAAAGCCCAUGGCUUAACUGUGGGUCUGCGGUGGAUACGGGCAGGCUGGAGGCUGGUAGGGGCAAGCGGAAUUCCUGGUGUAGCGGUGAAAUGCGCAGAUAUCAGGAGGAACACCCGUGGCGAAAGCGGCUCUCUGGGACGGUACUGACGCUGAGACGCGAAAGCGUGGGGAGCAAACAGG
rnacentral:rRNA from 1 species